GCUUUACUCCCUCCGUUUCGAAUUACUUGUCUUGGAUUUGUCUAGAUACGGAGGUAUCUAGCACUAAAAUGAGUCUAGAUACAUCCGUAUCUAGACAAAUCCAAGACAAGUAAUUCGGAACGGAGGAAGUACAUA
rnacentral:pre_miRNA from 1 species